rnacentral:rRNA from 1 species
CCAGCAGCCGCGGUAAUUCCAGCUCCAAUAGCGUAUAUUAAAGUUGUUGCAGUUAAAAAGCUCGUAGUUGGAUCUGGGGUUCGGGUCGGUGGUUUGCCGCUCUGCGGCUACUGCCGUGCUCGACUCUUACUAGCCGGUGCGUCUCGCGGUGCUCUUCAUUGAGUGCCACGAGAGCCUGGCAUGUUUACUUUGAAAAAAUUAGAGUGCUCAAAGCAGGCGCUUGCGCCUGAAUAGUGUUGCAUGGAAUAAUGGAAUAGGACCUCGGUUCUAUUUUGUUGGUUUUCGGAACUUGAGGUAAUGAUUAAGAGGGACGGUCGGGGGCAUUCGUAUUUCGGUGUUAGAGGUGAAAUUCUUGGAUCGCUGAAAGACGGACAAAUGCGAAAGCAUCUGCCAAGAACGUCUCCAUUAAUCAAGAACGAAAGUCAGAGGUUCGAAGACGAUCAGACACCGUCCUAGUUCUGACCAUAAACGAUGCCAACUAGCGAUCCGCAGUGGUUGCUAUAAACGGACUCUGCGAGCAGCUUCCGGGAAACCAAAGUGUUUGGGUUCCGGGGGAAGUAUGGUUGCAAAGCUGAAACUUAAAGGAAUUGACGGAAGGGCACCACCAGGAGUGGAGCCUGCGGCUUAAUUUGACUCAACACGGGGAAACUCACCCGGUCCGGACACCGUAAGGAUUGACAGAUCGAGAGCUCUUUCUUGAUUCGGUGGAUGGUGGUGCAUGGCCGUUCUUAGUUGGUGGAGUGAUUUGUCUGGUUAAUUCCGAUAACGAACGAGACUCUAGCCUGCUAACUAGUUGCGCCGUGUUCAUUCGCGGCUGUAGACUUCUUAGAGGGACAGAUGGCGUUUAGCCAUACGAAAUUGAGCAAUAACAGGUCUGUGAUGCCCUUAGAUGUCCGGGGCCGCACGCGCGCUACACUGAAGGAGUCAGCGUGUGCUAUCCGGGCUCGGAAGAGCUCGGUAACCCGUUGAAACUCCUUCGUGCUUGGGAUUGUGGCUUGUAAUUAUCGCGCAUGAACGAGGAAUUCCCAGUAAGUGCAAGUCAUCAGCUUGCGCUGACUACGUCCCUGCCCUUUGUACACACCGCCCGUCGCUACUACCGAUUGAAUGGUUUAGCAAGGUACUCAGAUUGGUCUCGAUCUUGCACGCAAGUGUGAGAUCGAUGGUCGAGAAGAAGGCCAAACUUGAUCAUUUAGAGGAAGUAAAAGUCGUAACAAGGGA